rnacentral:lncRNA from 1 species
AUCCUGAAUUCCUGGACUCACGUGAUCCUGUCACCUCAGCCUCCCAAAGUGCUAGGAUUACAGGUGUGAGCCACUGUGCCCAGCCCGAGAUGCUGUGUUUCAGAGGCAGGGGGGCAAGAGGAAAGGAGUCUAGACAGGUUUGCGAAAGCCAGGAGGAGAACCGCACAGGUGGUGCCACCAUGAAGGCCCAGCUCAGCAUCUUGCACGCAGCAGGCUCUCUGUAGGACUCGCUGAUUAAUUAGCCCCUAGGUAAGUUUCUUGCUCCAACUCUCCACUGACUGAAGCUAGGCUCUGAUAUUGAGUGGAGGGAAUGUGGGAGAG